rnacentral:rRNA from 1 species
AGUCUAGAAUACGGUAGAGGGUAGUGGAAUUUCCUGUGUAGCGGUGAAAUGCGUAGAUAUAGGAAGGAACACCAGUGGCGAAGGCGACUACCUGGACCGAUAUUGACACUGAGGUGCGAAAGCGUGGGGAGCAAACAGGAUUAGAUACCCUGGUAGUCCACGCCGUAAACGAUGUCUACUAGCCGUUGGGAGACUUGAUCUUUUAGUGGCGCAGCUAACGCGAUAAGUAGACCGCCUGGGGAGUACGGCCGCAAGGUUAAAACUCAAAUGAAUUGACGGGGGCCCGCACAAGCGGAGGAACAUGUGGUUUAAUUCGAUGAUACGCGAGGAACCUUACCUGGGCUUAAAUGUACGGCGACCGGUCUAGAGAUAGACCUUUCUUCGGACGACGUACAAGGUGCUGCAUGGUUGUCGUCAGCUCGUGCCGUGAGGUGUCGGGUUAAGUCCCAUAACGAGCGCAACCCCUAUCUUUAGUUGCUAACAGGUUAAGCUGAGGACUCUAGAGAGACUGCCACCGUAAGGUGAGAGGAAGGUGGGGAUGACGUCAAAUCAGCACGGCCCUUAUGUCCAGGGCUACACACGUGUUACAAUGGUCAGUACAAAGGGCAGCUACCUGGCGACAGGAUGCUAAUCUCUAAAACUGGUCUCAGUUCGGAUCGGAGUCUGCAACUCGACUCCGUGAAGCUGGAUUCGCUAGUAAUCGCGCAUCAGCCAUGGCGCGGUGAAUACGUUCCCGGGCCUUGUACACACCGCCCGUCAAACCAUGGAAGCUGGGGGUGCCUGAAGUCUGUUACCGAGAGGAGCGGCCUAGGGUAAAACUAGUGAC